AGGGAUCGGCACGACCUGGACCGUUGCUCUAGAUCGAACGCGUGAGUUUACGUGUGGCGUUCAAGUGACGUAGACACGCGCGUUGGACCUUAAAGCGCGGUCCUCCAGCAU
rnacentral:pre_miRNA from 1 species